GAGCAAUGUAGGUAGACUGUUU
rnacentral:miRNA from 1 species